rnacentral:rRNA from 1 species
AGAGUUUGAUCAUGGCUCAGAUUGAACGCUGGCGGCAUGCCUUACACAUGCAAGUCGAACGGUAACAGGUUAAGCUGACGAGUGGCGAACGGGUGAGUAAUGUAUCGGAACGUGCCCAGUCGUGGGGGAUAACUACUCGAAAGAGUGGCUAAUACCGCAUACGACCUGAGGGUGAAAGCGGGGGACCGUAAGGCCUCGCGCGAUUGGAGCGGCCGAUAUCAGAUUAGCUAGUUGGUGGGGUAAAAGCCCACCAAGGCGACGAUCUGUAGCUGGUCUGAGAGGACGACCAGCCACACUGGGACUGAGACACGGCCCAGACCCCUACGGGAGGCAGCAGUGGGGAAUUUUGGACAAUGGACGCAAGUCUGAUCCAGCCAUGCCGCGUGCGGGAAGAAGGCCUUCGGGUUGUAAACCGCUUUUGUCAGGGAAGAAACGAGUUUCUCUAAUACAGAGACUUAAUGACGGUACCUGAAGAAUAAGCACCGGCUAACUACGUGCCAGCAGCCGCGGUAAUACGUAGGGUGCAAGCGUUAAUCGGAAUUACUGGGCGUAAAGCGUGCGCAGGCGGUUAUGCAAGACAGAGGUGAAAUCCCCGGGCUCAACCUGGGAACUGCCUUUGUGACUGCAUAGCUAGAGUACGGCAGAGGGGGAUGGAAUUCCGCGUGUAGCAGUGAAAUGCGUAGAUAUGCGGAGGAACACCGAUGGCGAAGGCAAUCCCCUGGGCCUGUACUGACGCUCAUGCACGAAAGCGUGGGGAGCAAACAGGAUUAGAUACCCUGGUAGUCCACGCCCUAAACGAUGUCAACUGGUUGUUGGGAGGGUUUCUUCUCAGUAACGUAGCUAACGCGUGAAGUUGACCGCCUGGGG